UACAGGGGGGGCAAGCGUUGUUCGGAAUUACUGGGCGUAAAGGGGUCGUAGGUGGCCACCUAAGUCAGACGUGAAAUCCCUCAGCUUAACUGGGGAACUGCGUCUGAUACUGGGUGGCUUGAGUGCAGGAGAGGAAUGCGGAAUUCCAGGUGUAGCGGUGAAAUGCGUAGAUAUCUGGAGGAACACCGGUGGCGAAGGCGGCAUUCUGGACUGUAACUGACACUGAGGCGCGACAGCGUGGGGAGCAAACAGG
rnacentral:rRNA from 1 species